GACGAACGCUGGCGGCGUGCCUAAUACAUGCAAGUAGAACGCUGAAGGAGGAGCUUGCUUCUCCGGAUGAGUUGCGAACGGGUGAGUAACGCGUAGGUAACCUGCCUGGUAGCGGGGGAUAACUAUUGGAAACGAUAGCUAAUACCGCAUAAUAGCAGUUAUUGCAUGAUAACUGUUUGAAAGGUGCAAUUGCACCACUACCAGAUGGACCUGCGUUGUAUUAGCUAGUUGGUGGGGUAACGGCUCACCAAGGCGACGAUACAUAGCCGACCUGAGAGGGUGAUCGGCCACACUGGGACUGAGACACGGCCCAGACUCCUACGGGAGGCAGCAGUAGGGAAUCUUCGGCAAUGGACGGAAGUCUGACCGAGCAACACCGCGUGAGUGAAGAAGGUUUUCGGAUCGUAAAGCUCUGUUGUAAGAGAAGAACGAGUGUGAGAGUGGAAAGUUCACACUGUGACG
rnacentral:rRNA from 1 species